AGAGUUUGAUCCUGGCUCAGGACGAACGCUGGCGGCGUGCUUAACACAUGCAAGUCGAACGAGACGAUUGAAAGCUUGCUUUUGAAAGUCGAGUGGCAAACGGGUGAGUAACGCGUAGACAACCUGCCGUAAAGAUGGGGACAACAGUCCGAAAGGACUGCUAAUACCGAAUGUUGUGGAACUUCCGCAUGGGAGCUCUACUAAAGAUGGCCUCUACUUGUAAGCUAUCGCUUUACGAUGGGUCUGCGUCUGAUUAGCUAGUUGGUGGGGUAAUGGCUUACCAAGGCGACGAUCAGUAGCCGGUCUGAGAGGAUGAACGGCCACAUUGGAACUGAGACACGGUCCAGACUCCUACGGGAGGCAGCAGUGGGGAAUCUUCCGCAAUGGG
rnacentral:rRNA from 1 species